rnacentral:rRNA from 1 species
AGGACACGCUGGCGGCGUGCCUAACACAUGCAAGUCGAGCGAGUGAAUCUCCUUCGGGGAGUGAAGCUAGCGGCGGACGGGUGAGUAACACGUGGGCAACCUGCCUCAUAGAGGGGAAUAGCCUUCCGAAAGGAAGAUUAAUACCGCAUAAGAUUGUAGCUUCGCAUGAAGUAGCAAUUAAAGGAGCAAUCCGCUAUGAGAUGGGCCCGCGGCGCAUUAGCUAGUUGGUGAGGUAACGGCUCACCAAGGCGACGAUGCGUAGCCGACCUGAGAGGGUGAUCGGCCACAUUGGGACUGAGACACGGCCCAGACUCCUACGGGAGGCAGCAGUGGGGAAUAUUGCACAAUGGGGAAACCCUGAUGCAGCAACGCCGCGUGAGUGAUGACGGCCUUCGGGUUGUAAAGCUCUGUCUUCAGGGACGAUAAUGACGGUACCUGAGGAGGAAGCCACGGCUAACUACGUG